rnacentral:piRNA from 1 species
UGCAUUAGUGUUUAAAACAGU